AUGAGCUGGCGGCAUGCCUAACACAUGCAAGUCGAACGAAGGCUUCGGCCUUAGUGGCGCACGGGUGCGUAACGCGUGGGAAUCUGCCCUUGGGUUCGGAAUAACAGUUAGAAAUGACUGCUAAUACCGGAUGAUGUCGUAAGACCAAAGAUUUAUCGCCCAAGGAUGAGCCCGCGUAGGAUUAGCUAGUUGGUGGGGUAAAGGCCUACCAAGGCGACGAUCCUUAGCUGGUCUGAGAGGAUGAUCAGCCACACUGGGACUGAGACACGGCCCAGACUCCUACGGGAGGCAGCAGUGGGGAAUAUUGGACAAUGGGCGAAAGCCUGAUCCAGCAAUGCCGCGUGAGUGAUGAAGGCCUUAGGGUUGUAAAGCUCUUUUACCCGGGAUGAUAAUGACAGUACCGGGAGAAUAAGCUCCGGCUAACUUCGUG
rnacentral:rRNA from 1 species